rnacentral:rRNA from 1 species
AGCGAACGCUGGCGGCAGGCCUAACACAUGCAAGUCGAGCGGACGAAGCAAUACGUCAGCGGCAGACGGGAGAGUAACACGUGGGAACGCGCCCUUCGGUUCGGAAUAACUCAGGGAAACUUGGGCUAAUACCGAAUACGCCCUUACGGGGAAAGAUUCAUUGCCGAAGGAACGGCCCGCGUCCGAUUAGCUUGUUGGUGAGGUAACGGCUCACCAAGGCGACGAUCGGUAGCUGGUCUGAGAGGAUGACCAGCCUCACUGGGACUGAGACACGGCCCAGACUCCUACGGGAGGCAGCAGUGGGGAAUAUUGGACAAUGGGCGCAAGCCUGAUCCAGCCAUGCCGCGUGGGUGAUGAAGGCCCUAGGGUUGUAAAGCCCUUUCGGCGGGGAAGAUAAUGACGGUACCCGCAGAAGAAGCCCCGGCUAACUUCGUGCCAGCAGCCGCGGUAACAC